rnacentral:rRNA from 1 species
GACGAACGCUGGCGGCGUGCCUAAUACAUGCAAGUAGAACGCACAGUUUAUACCGUAGCUUGCUACACCAUAGACUGUGAGUUGCGAACGGGUGAGUAACGCGUAGGUAACCUGCCUGGUAGCGGGGGAUAACUAUUGGAAACGAUAGCUAAUACCGCAUAAUAUUGAUUAUUGCAUGAUAAUUGAUUGAAAGAUGCUAUUGCAUCACUACCAGAUGGACCUGCGUUGUAUUAGCUAGUAGGUGAGGUAACGGCGCACCUAGGCGAAGAUACAUAGCCGACCUGAGAAGGUGAACGGCCACACUGGGACUGAGACACGGCCCAGACUCCUACGGGAGGCAGCAGUAGGGGAUCUUCGGCAAUGGACGAAAGUCUGACCGAGCAACGCCGCGUGAGUGAAGAAGGUUUUCGGAUCGUAAAGCUCUGUUGUAAGAGAAGAACGGGUGUGAGAGUGGAAAGUUCACACUGUGACGGUAUCUUACCAGAAAGGGACGGCUAACUACGUG